rnacentral:rRNA from 1 species
UACGGAGGAUGCAAGCGUUAUCCGGAAUGAUUGGGCGUAAAGGGUCCGCAGGUGGCAGUGUAAGUCUGCUGUCAAAGAAUGAGGCUUAACCUCAUCAAGGCAGUGGAAACUACACAGCUAGAGUACGGUCGGGGUAGAAGGAGUUCCUGGUGUAGCGGUGAAAUGCGCAGAUAUCAGGAAGAACACCCGUGGCGAAGGCGGCUCUCUGGAACGCAACUGACGCUGAGACGCGAAAGCGUGGGGAGCAAACAGG